CCUACGGGCGGCAGCAGUGGGGAAUAUUGCACAAUGGGGGAAACCCUGAUGCAGCGACGCCGCGUGAGUGAAGAAGUAUCUCGGUACGUAAAGCUCUAUCAGCAGGGAAGAAAAUGACGGUACCUGACUAAGAAGCCCCGGCUAACUACGUGCCAGCAGCCGCGGUAAUACGUAGGGGGCAAGCGUUAUCCGGAUUUACUGGGGGUAAAGGGAGAGUAGACGGCAGCACAAGUCUGGAGUGAAAUCCCGGGGCUUAACCCCGGAACUGCUUUGGAAACUGUGCGGCUGGAGUGCAGGAGGGGUAGGCGGAAUUCCUGGUGUAGCGGUGAAAUGCUUAGAUAUUAGGCGGAACACCGUUGGCGAAGGCGGCUUACUGGACUGUAACUGACGUUGAGGCUCGAAAGCGUGGGGAGCAAACAGGAUUAGAUACCCCAGUAGUC
rnacentral:rRNA from 1 species